GUGGGGAAUAUUGCACAAUGGGGGAAACCCUGAUGCAGCAACGCCGCGUGAGUGAUGAAGGUCUUCGGAUUGUAAAACUCUGUCUUUGGGGACGAUAAUGACGGUACCCAAGGAGGAAGCCACGGCUAACUACGUGCCAGCAGCCGCGGUAAUACGUAGGUGGCAAGCGUUGUCCGGAUUUACUGGGCGUAAAGGGAGCGUAGGCGGAUUUUUAAGUGGGAUGUGAAAUACCCGGGCUUAACCUGGGUGCUGCAUUCCAAACUGGAAGUCUAGAGUACAGGAGGGGAAAGUGGAAUUCCUAGUGUAGCGGUGAAAUGCGUAGAGAUUAGGAAGAACACCGGUGGCGAAGGCGACUUUCUGGACUGUAACUGACGCUGAGGCUCGAAAGCGUGGGGAGCAAACAGGAUUAGAAACCCUGGUAGUCC
rnacentral:rRNA from 1 species